UCCAGGAAAAGCCUCUAAGCAUCAGGUAACAUUAAAUCGUACCCCAAACCGACACAGGUGGUCAGGUAGAGAAUACUCAGGCGCUUGAGAGAACUCGGGUGAAGGAACUAGGCAAAAUGGUGCCGUAACUUCGGGAGAAGGCACGCUGGCAUUAGGUAAAGAGACUUGCUCUCGGCGCCGAAGCCAGUCGCAGAUACCAGCUGGCUGCAACUGUUUAAUAAAAACACAGCACUGUGCAAACACGAAAGUGGACGUAUACGGUGUGACGCCUGCCCGGUGCUGGAAGGUUAAUUGAUGGGGUCAGCCGCAAGGCGAAGCUCUUGAUCGAAGCCCCAGUAAACGGCGGCCGUAACUAUAACGGUCCUAAGGUAGCGAAAUUCCUUGUCGGGUAAGUUCCGACCUGCACGAAUGGCGUAAUGAUGGCCAGGCUGUCUCCACCCGAGACUCAGUGAAAUUGAACUCGCUGUGAAGAUGCAGUGUACCCGCGGCAAGACGGAAAGACCCCGUGAACCUUUACUAUAGCUUGACACUGAACAUUGAGCCUUGAUGUGUAGGAUAGGUGGGAGGCAUUGAAGUGUGGACGCCAGUCUGCAUGGAGCCAACCUUGAAAUACCACCCUUUAAUGUUUGAUGUUCUAACUCGGCCCCAUAAUCUGGGGUGAGGACAGUGUCUGGUGGGUAGUUUGACUGGGGCGGUCUCCUCCCAAAGAGUAACGGAGGAGCACGAAGGUUAGCUAAUCACGGUCGGACAUCGUGAGGUUAGUGCAAAGGCAUAAGCUAGCUUGACUGCGAGAGUGACGGCUCGAGCAGGUACGAAAGUAGGUCUUAGUGAUCCGGUGGUUCUGAAUGGAAGGGCCAUCGCUCAACGGAUAAAAGGUACUCCGGGGAUAACAGGCUGAUACCGCCCAAGAGUUCAUAUCGACGGCGGUGUUUGGCACCUCGAUGUCGGCUCAUCACAUCCUGGGGCUGAAGUAGGUCCCAAGGGUAUGGCUGUUCGCCAUUUAAAGUGGUACGCGAGCUGGGUUUAGAACGUCGUGAGACAGUUCGGUCCCUAUCUGCCGUGGGCGUUGGAAGAUUGAGAGGGGCUGCUCCUAGUACGAGAGGACCGGAGUGGACGAAUCACUGGUGUUCGGGUUGUCAUGCCAAUGGCAUUGCCCGGUAGCUAAAUUCGGAAGAGAUAACCGCUGAAAGCAUCUAAGCGGGAAACUUGCCUCGAGAUGAGUCUUCCCUGGGGCUUUAAGCCCCCUGAAGGAACGUUAAAGACUAUGACGUUGAUAGGCUGGGUGUGUAAGUGCAGCGAUGCAUUGAGCUAACCAGUACUAAUGAUCCGUGAGGCUUAACC
rnacentral:rRNA from 1 species